UACAGAGGUCUCAAGCGUUGUUCUGAUUCAUUGGGCGUAAAGGGUGCGUAGGCGGCGUGGUAAGUCGGGUGUGAAAUCUCGGAGCUUAACUCCGAAACUGCAUUCGAUACUGCCGUGCUUGAGGACUGGAGAGGAGACUGGAAUUUACGGUGUAGCGGUGAAAUGCGUAGAUAUCGUAAGGAAGACCAGUGGCGAAGGCGGGUCUCUGGACAGUUCCUGACGCUGAGGCACGAAGGCCAGGGGAGCAAACGGG
rnacentral:rRNA from 1 species